rnacentral:rRNA from 1 species
GGUAGCCGACCUGAGAGGGUGAUCGGCCACACUGGGACUGAGACACGGCCCAGACUCGUACGGGAGGCAGCAGUAGGGAAUCUUCCGCAAUGGACGAAAGUCUGACGGAGCAACGCCGCGUGAGUGAUGAAGGUUUUCGGAUCGUAAAGCUCUGUUGUUAGGGAAGAACAAGUGCGAGAGUAACUGCUCGCACCUUGACGGUACCUAACCAGAAAGCCACGGCUAACUACGUGCCAGCAGCCGCGGUAAUACGUAGGUGGCAAGCGUUGUCCGGAAUUAUUGGGCGUAAAGGGCUCGCAGGCGGUUUCUUAAGUCUGAUGUGAAAGCCCCCGGCUCAACCGGGGAGGGUCAUUGGAAACUGGGAAACUUGAGUGCAGAAGAGGAGAGUGGAAUUCCACGUGUAGCGGUGAAAUGCGUAGAGAUGUGGAGGAACACCAGUGGCGAAGGCGACUCUCUGGUCUGUAACUGACGCUGAGGAGCGAAAGCGUGGGGAGCGAACAGGAUUAGAUACCCUGGUAGUCCACGCCGUAAACGAUGAGUGCUAAGUGUUAGGGGGUUUCCGCCCCUUAGUGCUGCAGCUAACGCAUUAAGCACUCCGCCUGGGGAGUACGGUCGCAAGACUGAAACUCAAAGGAAUUGACGGGGGCCCGCACAAGCGGUGGAGCAUGUGGUUUAAUUCGAAGCAACGCGAAGAACCUUACCAGGUCUUGACAUCCUCUGACAACCCUAGAGAUAGGGCUUUCCCUUCGGGGACAGAGUGACAGGUGGUGCAUGGUUGUCGUCAGCUCGUGUCGUGAGAUGUUGGGUUAAGU